rnacentral:rRNA from 1 species
GAUGAACGCUGGCGGCGUGCCUAAUACAUGCAAGUCGAGCGAACAGACGAGGAGCUUGCUCCUCUGACGUUAGCGGCGGACGGGUGAGUAACACGUGGAUAACCUACCUCUAAGACUGGGAUAACUUCGGGAAACCGGAGCUAAUACCGGAUAAUAUAUUGAACCGCAUGGUUCAAUAGUGAAAGACGGUUUUGCUGUCACUUAUAGAUGGAUCCGCGCUGCAUUAGCUAGUUGGUAAGGUAACGGCCUACCAAGGCAACGAUGCGUAGCCGACCUGAGAGGGUGAUCAGCCACACUGGAACUGAGACACGGUCCAGACUCCUACGGGAGGCAGCAGUAGGGAAUCUUGCACCAUGGGCGAAAGCCUGACCGAGCCACGCCGCGUGGGUGAAGAAGGUCUUCGGAUCGUAAAACUCUUUUAUUGGGGAAGAAAAAAUGUGUAAGUAAACAUGGCCGUCCUGACGGUACCUAAACAAAAAGCCCCGGCUAACUUCGUG